AGUUGCACUUGUUAGCAUUUAUUUAUUUAUUUAUUUCGGUUUUUCCGUUUGUCUGUAAACGUAAUUUGAUCUCCGUUACCACGGUAAUCAAUGUAGGUGAUGUUAGCCCUCACGAUCGUUGGUAACAUUGUUACUGGUUUAAGACCUGGAGAGAGAAUCUCGCGGAGGUCGCUCGUAUGUUGAAUCCUUCGGGAAGACGGAAAGGGAUGGUUAGAGCCAUUGCCGACCGCUAGAGUGGGACGGGAACUCAGAUCUUUAAAGAUCCGAAGAAGCCCGAGGCAAUCUCCGGGAAACGACGUACCAAAAGUACGUCUGGGGCCACUUUCCCCGUUCUGAGGAACCUAGUACUCGUUCACUUUGUCCCAGACCUUUGUGAAGUGUGGAGUGCGCGGACUUUUAUCCCGGGUUCCCCUGUCCAGUCCUGAGAUCUCGUCGAAGCUAGAAUUGUGUGCGAUAGUGUGUGCGAAGAAGUGAGCCCUAGUGCGGCCUAGCUAGAGAUCAGUUCGUUGGCUUCGCUUCCUUUCGCCCUACCAGCAAAGCAGCACCAGUAGGAGAUCGAGCGCGCGUCCACCACCGCCCCGCAUCGAGUGUGGGACAAGUUUGACCUGGCACACGUUACAUCGCCAGAAGAGACGAGC